GAUCAUUACAGAAUGAAAGUGCUUAACUGCAUUUUUUUUACACAUGUGUUUUUCUUUUUUUUUGAAAACUUUGCUUUGGUGGGCCCAUGGCCUGCCAGAGAUUAAACUCAACCAAAUUUUUAUUUAAGUCAACUGAUUAACUAAUAGUCAAAACUUUCAACAACGGAUCUCUUGGUUCUCGCAUCGAUGAAGAACGCAGCGAAAUGCGAUAAGUAAUAUGAAUUGCAGAUAUUCGUGAAUCAUCGAAUCUUUGAACGCACAUUGCGCCCUUUGGUAUUCCAAAGGGCAUGCCUGUUUGAGCGUCAUUUCUCCCUCAAACCUUCGGGUUUGGUGUUGAGCGAUACGCUGGGUUUGCUUGAAAGAAAGGCGGAGUAUAAACUAAUGGAUAGGUUUUUUUUCCACUCAUUGGUACAAACUCCAAAAUUCUUCCAAAUUCGACCUCAAAUCAGGUAGGACUACCCGCU
rnacentral:sRNA from 1 species